UGGGGAAUAUUGCACAAUGGAGGGAACUCUGAUGCAGCGACGCCGCGUGAACGAAGAAGGCUUUCGAGUCGUAAAGUUCUUUUAUAUGGGAAGAUAAUGACGGUACCAUAAGAAAAAGCCCCGGCUAACUACGUGCCAGCAGCCGCGGUAAUACGUAGGGGGCUAGCGUUGUCCGGAAUCACUGGGCGUAAAGGGUUCGCAGGCGGAAAUGCAAGUCCGGUGGAAAAGGCAGUAGCUUAACUACUGUAAGCAUUUGAAACUGCAUAUCUUGAGAAGAGUAGAGGUAAGUGGAAUUUUUAGUGUAGCGGUGAAAUGCGUAGAUAUUAAAAAGAAUACCGGUGGCGAAGGCGACUUACUGGGCUCAUUCUGACGCUGAGGAACGAAAGCGUGGGUAGCAAACAGG
rnacentral:rRNA from 1 species